rnacentral:rRNA from 1 species
AUUGAACGCUGGCGGCAGGCCUAACACAUGCAAGUCGAGCGGAUGAAGGGAGCUUGCUCCUGGAUUCAGCGGCGGACGGGUGAGUAAUGCCUAGAAAUCUGCCUGGUAGUGGGGGAUAACGUCCGGAAACGGGCGCUAAUACCGCAUACGUCCUGAGGGAGAAAGUGGGGGAUCUUCGGACCUCACGCUAUCAGAUGAGCCUAGGUCGGAUUAGCUAGUUGGUGGGGUAAAGGCCUACCAAGGCGACGAUCCGUAACUGGUCUGAGAGGAUGAUCAGUCACACUGGAACUGAGACACGGUCCAGACUCCUACGGGAGGCAGCAGUGGGGAAUAUUGGACAAUGGGCGAAAGCCUGAUCCAGCCAUGCCGCGUGUGUGAAGAAGGUCUUCGGAUUGUAAAGCACUUUAAGUUGGGAGGAAGGACAGUAAGUUAAUACCUUGCUGUUUUGACGUUACCAACAGAAUAAGCACCGGCUAACUUCGUG